rnacentral:other from 2 species
UUUGCCCUGCUUGGCUCGUGAUUCAACGGCAAAUAUAACCCUACAAGCAUCUGAUAAGGGAAUCUUUCUCCCUUGGUGGAUUGCAGACCUCCCAACACAGCUUCGACUGUUGUUGGACGAAGGGAGCGUGAAGCCAAGGGGACGAUACCCACCUGCAAUUAAGGCAGGUUAUUAUGCGCCGCAACACGACCCGGCGGGGAACCC